CAUUUAUCCUGCACCGAACAUAGACUCUUCAGUUUCUGUGCAUUAUUUUUCGGAAUUCUAAGAAUAUAUAUAAUUCAGCCUGCACUGUUCAGGACUAACUGGUAUGGAUGUUUACCUCACACUGCUCUAUGUGACGUUGGAACAGGAACAGGCCCUGAAACAUUUCUUCCUGAAGAAUGGAUGGAAGUUCUGUAAGCCAGAUCUUUCAGUUAUUACAGAGAAAAUAGGUCCACCUCAGUUAUCCACUGUCAGCAUCAGAGAUGUUCCUGAAAGUCCUGGUCCUGGAUGUCCAAGUAUACCAACAACAGAAGACAUUGAUAGUGGGGCAAAGCUUAGAUCAAGGUACCUAAGGACUCGUGAAAAGAGGUCCAACACCUCAUGCAAGUCAAUUGUAGUUGAAGAACUGACUCAAGAUCAUGCAGAUAUAGAAGACGAUCAUAAAAAUAAUACCGACAAUGAAAACAAUGUUGAAGAUAUUGCUGAGACAUUCGAUGGCCCAGAGAACAUAAAGCCAUCUGGUGAUCAUGCACAAACAGCAGUGCAAGAGGAAUUAACUCCCAACUCAAUGCUCGGUCUGUCACAUUACAGGCAUACGCUGGCAUGCACCUCGGAAGAGAGGGGCAGUAACUCUAAAUGUUUUAGGAGGAAGAGAUGUCAUACUGUGGCCAGCCUUGAUGCCAAAGCAAGAGUGUUUGCUGAACAUCUGGAUACGGAUGAGAGACAGCUUGAUUGCAUAGAAAGCCUAAGGCUUAUUUGAAACGCUCUUGAGUCCAUUUCCUGUGACUAGAACCAGUACUUGAUGUCUUUAGGGGAAAUCUAAAGAACGCUCCAACAGUGGGUAUCGAACCCAUGACCUCCCGAGCGCUAGGCGGACACCAUAUCCACUACACCACUUCGUCAAAGUAACCAUUUAAUUGGGUCUGGCUGUAGAUGUGAACAUACUUCUGAAAAAGGCGGAGACAUUAGCCAAACGGGUACUGUCAAAAACACAAUCCAAAACUGUCACCUGUCCCAAAUGCAAUCAAAUAUGCAUUAGACGUCGGCUGAAACUCCAUAUCCUAUCUCAUAUGGAUCUUCCGUAUAAAUGUAGUGCCUGUAAUUUGUAUUUUAAAACACUACAAGAGCAAGAGGAACAUAAGCAAGUCAAACAUCCAAAGGAAUAUCAGUGCAAGCAGUGUGACAGGAAGUACAAUUACUUGCUAUCACUACGACAGCAUAUGCAAGUAGCCCAUAGAAAACCUUGUGAGCAAUUACGUUUUGAAUGCUCGGUUUGUGGCAAGUCGUUCCCCACAAAAGGUCGACUUAAAGUCCACAUGGUUUCCCAUUCAAGUGAACGUCCGUUUACUUGCGAUUUGUGCGGCCUGUCUUUUAAGUCCCAUGAUGCCCUGAAAACGCACUCAAUGUACAUACACGAGGGGCUACCCAGGAAGCCCUAUGUACGUAAAUACACGUGCGAAUACUGCGCAGUGACUUUUAACAGUGGAACAACACUCAAGGAACAUAUUUUAAGAAAGCAUACAGAAAAUGCAGAAUUUAGACACAAAUGUGAUAUAUGUGACCAAUCAUUCUGUAGACCAGUCCGACUUGAGGCGCAUAAGAACAAAGAUCAUUUUAAUCGUAAACCAUAUACAUGCUCGCACUGUAACAAGGGCUUCUUUAUUGAAUAUGACUGUAAGCGUCACAUGAGCAGAUGUUCAAAAGAAAAAGACAGAAAUAAGAGUACAAAUGAAAAAGAUGACCAAGCAGCAUUUAAUAUAGAUGGGAAAACUCAUGGUACUUCAACGAAUGUCAGUAUAUCGUCUUCUGGGUAUCAGAUUUACCCAACCAACAGUAUCGGGAUAGAUCCGGUUCACAGCCAGGGGUCUGGUCAGCUAAGCUUUGUAGACCUUGGUGGCUCAUCUGUGAUGACUUCGUAUCUGGAAAACUCCACCAACUUGGCUAAUACGGUUUCUGUGACAUGUUUUCAGCCUGUAAACACAACCUACCAGGAUAUGUUGUGAAAACCCUGGCUUGAAGAAUAGUUAUGCAUCUUAAAUGUGUAUAGAUUUUGUAGUCACAUACACAUGUACAUGUUUAUCCAUUGAAACAUCCCAUUAUUAAUCAUUGGCCACAAUGUGGAUGGAGUGUAUAGAAAUGCUCUUCAGGGAUAUGUCAGUCUAUCAUUCUGUCAGUCUGCCUUAAACUUUUUGUCUCCUCCAUAUGUUGUAUACCAUUUGACAGAUAAUCAUGGAACUUGCAUUAAAUGUUAUGCUGACUUGAGGUCAAGUUCAUAUUUUAAGGUCAAAGGUUUGAGAUUCCAUUUUGUGUGCAAUCCAUAUCUCAUACACCCAUCGAGAGAUUUUCAUGAAAUAUGGCUAAAAUAUUGAGGUCAAUGCAAAUUAAGGUCAAGGUCAUACUUCAAGGUCAAAAGUUUGAGUAUCUACUCUCCAAUAAGAUAUUUCUCUUCUAUACCCAUAAAACGAUUUUCAUACAACCUGACUACAAUGUUAAGGUGAUUGAAGCAAUCUGAAGAAGGCAUUAUUAAGUCACCCUGGCAAAAAGUCAAGGUCACAUUUGAAAGUGAAAAGUUUAAGCCUGUAUUUUUUAUUCCACAUUUGGAGGAUUUUAUUUAAAUUUUGAUUAUUAUUCCCUUUGACCAGGCGAUGUGUUGUUAAGAACUGAUCCUUUGUGACCAUGGUCAAAUUGUAGGUUAAUGGGCAUACGGUUUAGUUUCCACUCUUAUCAUUAUGGUUUUCAUCUCUGCUCUGUUCCUUUAAUCUGCCUGAAAGGAUUAAAAUACAACCUAUGAUAAUGAUUCCCUAUGACCAGACAAUUUGUCUAAAACAACUCCCAUGCUCCACAGUAUAAUGUCAAGGUCAUAAUUCAAGGUCAAAGUAAAUAAAUGUUUGUUCUGAAGUUGAACUUGUAUUUGACUUAAAGGAUUUUUAUAUUUAUUUGGAUUAUUAUUCUUUAUGACUGAACCAUUUGUAGUUUGAGUAUUGAAUGCUUCUUUACUAGGUCAAGGAUAAAUUUCAAUGUGAGAAGAUCUAAACGAUUGUUUCCACUUCGUAACUGAUUGUGGUGGAAUUUAAUAUCAUUUCAGAUUAUUAGUCCCCAUGAUCAGAAUGUGCAGUGUUCAACUCCAAUUGUUCUCAAAGAAAGAUGAAUGUCACAAUUCAAGGUCAAAGUUUGUAAAUUAAUGUUUCUGCAACUUUUAAUUUCUUAGAGAAUGUAAAUAUUACUUAAGAUUAUUAAUCCCCAUUACCAGAUAAUGUGUCACUUAUAAUUGGUAUCGCUCCUCACUGCAAAGUCAAGGUCACACAAAUCAAGAACAAAGGUCAAUAACUUCGAUUUCCGUUCUGUUACUUUUUAUGUCGGCUAGGAUUCUAAUAGUAUUUGUAAGACCAUACGAUGAGUCAUAUACAAUUUGUAUGCUCUUAGGUGAAAGGUCUAUGUUAGAAUUCAAGGUUAUAGGUCAGAUUUUCAUCUCGGAUGUUAUUUGUAAAGAGUAAUGUAUCUCUUCUUUUGUUUAGCUUUUAUUAAGCCUUGAUAAUUGAAUGCACAAACCGCUAUUUUUAUUCAGUACAGGCCUUUCCUCUGGUGGAAAUUCUUAAUAAAUGACUAAUACAUAAAAAA